UACGUAGGUGGCAAGCGUUGUCCGGAAUUAUUGGGCGUAAAGAGCGUGUAGGCGGUCCGAUAAGUCGGUUGUGAAAGUCCAGGGCUCAACCCUGGGAUGCCGACCGAUACUGUCGGACUAGAGUUCGGAAGAGGCGAGUGGAAUUCCCGGUGUAGCGGUGAAAUGCGCAGAUAUCGGGAGGAACACCUGUGGCGAAGGCAGCUCGCUGGGACGUUACUGACGCUGAGACGCGAAAGCGUGGGGAGCGAACAGG
rnacentral:rRNA from 1 species